UGGUGCCAGCAGCCGCGGUAAUUCCAGCUCCAAUAGCGUAUAUUAAAGUUGUUGCAGUUAAAAAGCUCGUAGUUGAAUUUCGGGAUUAGUACGUUGGUCGUGCCUUGGUACGUACUGGUGUUACUGGUUCCUACCUUCUGACGAACCAUCAUGUCAUUAAUUUGGUGUGGUGGGGAAUCAGGACUGUUACUUUGAAAAAAUUAGAGUGUUUAAAGCAGGCUCGCGCUUGAAUACAUUAGCAUGGAAUAAUGAAAUAGGACGUUGAUCCUAUUUUGUUGGUUUCUAGGAUUGACGUAAUGAUUAAUAGGGAUAGUUGGGGGCAUUAGUAUUCAAUUGUCAGAGGUGAAAUUCUUGGAUUUAUUGAAGACUAACUACUGCGAAAGCAUUUGCCAAGGAUGUUUUCAUUAAUCAAGAACGAAAGUUAGGGGAUCGAAGACGAUCAGAUACCGUCGUAGUCUUAACCAUAAACUAUGCCGACUAGGGA
rnacentral:rRNA from 1 species